CAGAGGUUGCAUGUGAGAGCUUCACAGAGAGGCUAGGCUGCUGGUCUGACUGCUGUGAGAAGGGAACUGCUGCUGAUCUUCAGAGAAGUGACAGCAGUGCCACAGGGAGAAGUGUCACAGGAAGCAGGGAAGCAGAAGCACCAAGCCAUGAAGAAAAUGCUUCCUGCAGACAUUUCCUAACUGGGACUGAAGGACUGGCUUUGUGAAGAGUCAGGGAAAUACUACUGAUGAUUACCUAUGUUGUGUGUUGUACUGGCUAUGAAGAGGCAGGGAGGAGCUGUGGACAGAUUGGUUAAUGGGAUCCACGAGAAAGGAUAAAGAAAAGGACCUCACACUGUGAGAGGGAUGAUCAUGGGUCUCAACCCAGCCUUGACCUCUGAGCUUACCAGUAAAUCUUGCCAGUGCAUUGGGAGAGAACAAGAAUGUAAUUGGGACAGGGAGAUAUGGAAGUGGAGUUGUGGGGGGAGGUGAACGAGACAGAGCUCAAGGGGAAAAAUUAAGAGAAGCUCUGGGAUUCCAAAGGUAAGGCCAGACUUCCUCUCAUAGCUGUGCUGCAAUGAAGAAGAGCAACGAGAGAAAAGAGACCAGUAGUUAAUAAAAAAUAAAUGCUACCAGAUUGUGAACAUACUGAAAUGUCAGGCACAUUGUAUUACACCAACCUAAUUGGAAAUGGAAAUACCGACAUUUGGUUAUGUGAUUCCAUCCCAAAACACAAU